CUCUUUUCUUUGCCUUUGGCCUUUGAGUUGUUAAAACACUCAACUUUGUGGUUUUCUUUCUCUUGGGUGGGGUUGUUGUCAUUAUUUUCUGUUCUGAGUGUGUUGGGUUUAAGGAUUUUUAAGGCUUGAAGCUGUAAAAGCUGGCUCUUGUGUUGGCAGUUGUAUCGCUAUUUCCUGUCUGGUUUUUAAAUUUUUUUAGAG
rnacentral:misc_RNA from 1 species